UACAGAGACUGCAAGCGUUAUUCGGAUUCACUGGGCGUAAAGGGUGCGCAGGCGGCCGUGUGUGUGAGGCGUGAAAGCCCGGGGCUUAACCCCGGAAUUGCACCUCAAACUACACGGCUAGAGCAUUGGAGAGGGUAGCAGAAUUCACGGUGUAGCAGUGAAAUGCGUAGAUAUCGUGAGGAAUACCAGAGGCGAAGGCGGCUACCUGGACAAUUGCUGACGCUCAGGCACGAAAGCGUGGGAGCAAAGGG
rnacentral:rRNA from 1 species